GCCCUACUGGGCUACUGGCUAUCUUUAUGCUAGCUAGUGAAAGUCAAUUAGUACCUCAACCUGCUACAAGAUGAAGCUGCCCAGCCAGAGGUGUACCUGCUGCAGAAAGGUGAUAUUUCUACAUUACUUUUUGCAGCUAAUUUCACCAGAUCUUCUUGCUGCCUGAUGUUGGUGCUUAUUAACUGAGAGAAGAGCACAGUAUGGCAUCUGAACAGAUCAUCAUGAACUUCAUUCAGUUACAUCAGCCAAUGCAGACCAUUCCAACAGUCCAGUCACUCAGCCCUAUCCAGAAACUCUCAAGGUCCUACACUACUUCCUCCUACAACACCCUGAUGAGAAGUAAAAAGCCUAGCCCGAUGACUGCAAUUUCACUCACUCAGUAGCCUGGGUGAUGGCACCUACAGGCCUGUUUGAGGGACAAUUGGACAGAACAUAUCAGAAUGCUUGGACCUCGGCUGAGACUCACCUCUCCUUCCCAGUCUUUCAAGGAAAGCACCUACUUUACACUUCCUGUUUGGCAUGAUGCUCUCUAGCAACAGUCUUCCAACAACAUUCCACCUCUCCACCACCACCAGCAUGUAUAACCUGAAGGCCCGUCAUCAGAUCCCUGUUCUCCCAGUUGGGGGGGGGGGGGGAUUCGGUCCCAGCUGCCCAGCAUAGGGCAACCUGUCAUCAGCAUCUGGCUCUGAGGAGCAAUCUUCUGAGAUGAGGUCUACCCCAAACUAUUCAAUAAAAUUCCAUUUGGUAUUCUA
rnacentral:lncRNA from 1 species